rnacentral:rRNA from 1 species
CGAUAUUCAAUGAAUAACCCCCGGCGAAACUAUGUGCCCCCAGCCGCGGUAAUACAUAGGGGGCGAGCGUUAUCCGGAAUUAUUGGGCGUAAAGGGUGCGUAAGGCGGGUUAAUAAGUCUAUAGUUUAAAUUUCAGUGCUUAAACACUGUCCUGCUAUAGAAACUAUUAGACUAGAGUGAGAUAGAGGCAAGUGGAAUUCCAUGUGUAGCGGUAAAAUGCGUAAAUAUAUGGAGGAACACCAGAGGCGUAGGCGGCUUGCUGGGUCUUUACUGACGCUGAGGCACGAAAGCGUGGGGAGCAAACAGGAUUAGAUACCCUGGUAGUCCACGCCGUAAACGAUGAGUACUAAGUGUCGGGAUUACUCGGUACUGAAGUUAACACAUUAAGUACUCCGCCUGAGUAGUACGUACGCAAGUAUGAAAGUUAAAGGAAUUGACGGGACUCCGCACAAGCGGUGGAUCAUGUUUUUUAAUUUGAAGAUACACGAAAAACCUUACCAGGUCUUGACAUACUCUGCAAAGCUAUAGCAAUAUAGUGGAGGUUAUCAGGGAUACAGGUGGUGCAUGGUUGUCGUCAGCUCGUGUCGUGAGAUGUUAGGUUAAGUCCUAAAACGAGCGCAACCCUUGUCAUUAGUUGCCAGCAUGUCAUGAUGGGCACUUUAAUGAGACUGCCAAUGAAAAAUUGGAGGAAGGUGAGGAUCACGUCAAAUCAUCAUGCCCCUUAUGAUCUGGGCUACAAACGUGAUACAAUGGCUGUUACAAAGAGUAGCUGAAACGCAAGUUUAUAGCCAAUCUCAUAAAAGCAGUCUCAGUUUGGAUUGAAGUCUGCAACUCGACUUCAUGAAGUUGGAAUCGCUAGUAAUCGCGAAUCAGCAUUCGCGGUGAAUCUGUUGUUGGGGUUUGUACACACCGCCCGUCAAACCACGAAAGUUGGUAAUACUCAAAAACGGUAGCCUAACUUCUUCGGAAGAGGGAACCGUCUAAGGUAGGAUCGAUGAUUGGGGUUAAAAGGUCGGA